GCUUACGGCCAUACCAGCCUG
rnacentral:rRNA from 22 species